rnacentral:rRNA from 1 species
UUCCGGUUGAUCCUGCCGGAGGCCAUUGCUAUCGGAGUUCGAUUUAGCCAUGCUAGUCGCACGGGUUUAGACCCGUGGCGAAAAGCUCAGUAACACGUGGCCAAACUACCCUAUGGAUCAGAAUAACCUCGGGAAACUGAGGACAAUUCUGAAUACCGCUCCUGCACUGGGAUGUGCGGAGCUCGAAACGCUACGGCGCCAUAGGAUGUGGCUGCGGCCGAUUAGGUUGACGGUGGGGUAACGGCCCACCGUGCCCAUAAUCGGUACGGGUUGUGAGAGCAAGAGCCCGGAGACGGUAUCUGAGACAAGAUACCGGGCCCUACGGGGCGCAGCAGGCGCGAAACCUUUACACUGCACGACAGUGCGAUAAGGGAAUUCCGAGUGCGAGGGCAUAGAGCCCUCGCUUUUGUACACCGUAAGGUGGUGCACGAAUAAGGGCUGGGCAAGACCGGUGCCAGCCGCCGCGGUAAUACCGGCAGCCCAAGUGAUGGCCGAUAUUAUUGGGCCUAAAGCGUCCGUAGCUGGCCGGACAAGUCCGUUGGGAAAUCCGCGCGCUCAACGCGCGGGCGUCCAGCGGAAACUGUCCGGCUUGGGGCCGGAAGACCUGAGGGGUACGUCCGGGGUAGGAGUGAAAUCCUGUAAUCUCGGACGGACCGCCUGUGGCGAAAGCGCCUCAGGAAGACGGACCCGACAGUGAGGGACGAAAGCCAGGGUCUCGAACCGGAUUAGAUACCCGGGUAGUCCUGGCUGUAAACGAUGUCCGCUAGGUGUGACGCAGGCUACGGGCCUGCGCUGUGCCGUAGGGAAGCCGUGAAGCGGACCGCCUGGGAAGUACGUCUGCAAGGAUGAAACUUAAAGGAAUUGGCGGGGGAGCACUACAACCGGAGGAGCCUGCGGUUUAAUUGGAUUCAACGCCGGG